UAAGGACACAGAUUUACAAGGAGGAACCAUUUCUGACACCUAUACAUUGUUGUGCCAUUGUUGAUUAGGAUAUACAAACAAUGGUUUGAUUAGUUCGCUGCAUCCUCCCUCAGGUGCACGUGCUGAAGAGAUGCAGCAACAACUAGUUGGUGCCAUUGGUGGUCAACACACAUCUUCUCCUGCUGCAGUAUGGUUGUCAUAUGCUUAUUGAGCACGCUGAUAUGUUUCAACUGGAAGGCUUUUCCUACAUCCUUGAAGGUGUUCCCACAUAUGCUGAGCAAUUUUUGGCUGCUUUUCCUUCACUCUGCAGUUCAACUCAUCCCAAACCAUCUCAUUUGGGUU